CCUAGACGACGCUGGCGGCGUGCCUAAUACAUGCAAGUCGAGCGAAUGAUGAAGAAGCUUGCUUCUUCUGAUUUAGCGGCGGACGGGUGAGUAACACGUGGGCAACCUACCUAGUAGAUUGGGAUAACUCCGGGAAACCGGGGCUAAUACCGAAUAAUCCAUUUUGUCACAUGGCAAAAUGCUGAAAGGCGGUUUCGGCUGUCACUACUAGAUGGGCCCGCGGUGCAUUAGCUAGUUGGUGGGGUAAUGGCCUACCAAGGCAACGAUGCAUAGCCGACCUGAGAGGGUGAUCGGCCACAUUGGGACUGAGACACGGCCCAAACUCCUACGGGAGGCAGCAGUAGGGAAUCUUCCACAAUGGACGAAAGUCUGAUGGAGCAACGCCGCGUGAGUGAUGAAGGUUUUCGGAUCGUAAAACUCUGUUGUAAGGGAAGAACAAGUACGUUAGUAACUGAACGUACCUUGACGGUACCUUAUUAGAAAGCCACGGCUAACUACGUGCCAGCAGCCGCGGUAAUACGUAGGUGGCAAGCGUUGUCCGGAUUUAUUGGGCGUAAAGCGCGCGCAGGUGGUUUCUUAAGUCUGAUGUGAAAGCCCACGGCUCAACCGUGGAGGGUCAUUGGAAACUGGGAGACUUGAGUGCAGAAGAGGAAAGUGGAAUUCCAAGUGUAGCGGUGAAAUGCGUAGAGAUUUGGAGGAACACCAGUGGCGAAGGCGACUUUCUGGUCUGUAACUGACACUGAGGCGCGAAAGCGUGGGGAGCAAACAGGAUUAGAUACCCUGGUAGUCCACGCCGUAAACGAUGAGUGCUAAGUGUUAGGGGGUUUCCGCCCCUUAGUGCUGCAGCUAACGCAUUAAGCACUCCGCC
rnacentral:rRNA from 1 species